CCGAACCUGGAAAUUAAGCAGUCGCGGGCCACAUCAGUACUGGGCUGGGCGACUUCCCGGGAACGUGCGGUGCUUGCUUCUU
rnacentral:rRNA from 1 species